GCAUUUUGAUGGCUGAGGCAGCAAUCGAGCAAUUUUGUUAUGGGUGCUAAAGAGGACGUGGCAUUUUGAGGAUUUGGUCUUACGUUCUCAGACCCAGCAGAGAGUACCUGUGUUCUCUGUCUUUCUCUCCCCAAGGCCAACGGGCUCCACAACCUUGCGUGUGGCUGGUGUGAAAGGUUCUGUGUCUACGUGCGCUCUUAUCUGCGUUGAUGGACACUUACCGCAGAAUGAACGUGGCCAGUGUGUUUGCGCGCGGUCGGCAGCAAGGUGACAGGUGAACACACAGCGGGGGAGGCAGAGGUCGGACACGACGAGGAGCCGCAGCAGUGGGGCCCCUUCCCCAGGCGACAGAAAGUCCUGGACACACUGUCCUCCGGGCGGCGCGCUGUGCCCGCCCCACACACCAGCUCACGGGCUGAGUACCCGCAGCUUUCGCAGGUGGAUCCUUCGCAGGAAAGGGGCUGACGGAGACGAAACCCGUUUUUCCGAGGAUUUUCUGUUCUCUGUUUUUACCGAAGAGAGAGACUUUCCCCAGACUGCCUUUUACUUUUUAAAACUAGAAUUCCAUU
rnacentral:lncRNA from 1 species